GAGAAUACCCGGGUAGGGACGAGUAUGGAGAGUGAAUCUGGCAAGUUCAAGGUAAGAUUUGCUAUUUGACAUAUCAGCAGAGCCAGGCAAGAGAGUCCAUCACUACAGAAUGAUUCACAGGAAAGAAAAUGAGAACAGAUCAUUCCAACCUGCCUCACCACUGGUUCAGGACAGCAGCAGCGUUAUGUAUUAAAAGCCAAGAAGGAGCCUUUUCUAGAAGAUCUCAGAAGGAACGAUGGUAUCUGCGUAUUUACAUAAUACCAGUGUCUGUGGCGGGCCUGGCUUAGCAGAUGAAGAAAUGGGAGCUGGGAGAAUUGAAAGACGCUCGCCCUAGGUUACAAAGCAAGUCUACACAGAGUGCAGAACCACAGUUCCCAAUUCCAACCGGAUCCACUGCCUCCCAGCACUCAGCUUGAUCAUCCUUUGCAUUGACCUUGGAAGCCCGUCUUGGAACCCUUCCUCCCAGGACACACUCUCAGAGGGAGGCACGCCCUGACAGGGGAGGGCUUCUGUCGUCGAGGGGAACCCUUCUUCACUCUGACCCCUCCACAAGCUGGGUCACAGCUAUCCCUCAAGCGGUUGCCACACUUGGCACCUGGCUGGCGUGUGCCUCUGGAAUGGAAAGUCAAGAGACUUUCAAAGCUUCAUAUACAAUAACAGGAAAAAAAUUAAACAAAGGAACAUUU